UGGGAUGAGUGUGGGCAGUUCCAGUGA
rnacentral:piRNA from 1 species